AGGAGCGGCGAUGGUGCAGCCGGUCCAGGCGCGGCCAUCGCGGUGAGGUCGUGGUUAGGGAGAUCGUGCGCGAGACCGCAAUCAGCGGUAGCGUGCCCAUCACCUUCCCGAUGCUCACGCGCUCAAACUACAGUGAGUGGUGGGCGUUGAUCAUGGAGUGCAACCUUCAUGCGGCGAGCCUCUGGGCUCCCAUGGAGGACGAUCUGGUCGAGAGAAAGGAGGACAGGAAAGCCGUGGCGGCCCUCAUGUGCGCCACGCCGCCGGAGAUGCACGGCAUGCUCGCGGUGAAGGCAAGCGCCAAGGAGGCGUGGGAAGCCAUCCGUACCCUGCGCCUCGGCAGCAACCGCAUGCGCGAGGCGAACGCGCAAAAGCUGCGGGCGGACUUCGAGAACAUCGCCUUCAAGGAGGGCGAGCUCGUCGACAACUUCGCCAUGUGGAUCUCCAGCGUUGGGUCACAACUCUGAGCGCUCGGUGAUACCAUGGACGAUGCGAGAGUCGUGCAGAGAUUUCUCUGCGUCGUGCCACCUCGCUUCGCUCAGGUCGCGGUCUCCAUCGAGACCUUGCUUGACCUGAGUGAGCUCUCCAUCGAGGAGCUCACGGGCCGGUUGCGGGUGAUCGAGGACCGCUUUGACGACGGCCGCGAGAGCUUUGGCGGCGGACAACUCCUAUUCUCAAAGAAGUGGGAGGCGAGGAAGCGUUAAGGACGUGGUGGCGGUGCCCAGAGCAGUGGAGGCGGCACCGACAGAGGCGGCGGUCGCACCCAGGGCGGAGACGGACAAGGUGCCGGCAACGACGACCGGGACAAGUGCCGAUAUUGCAGCAUCAAGGGCCACUGGGCCCGUGAGUGCCGCAAGAGGAUGGCUAAGGAGGAUGCCGCGGCUGCGGUGAACCUCAUCGAGGCUGAAGAGGACGGUGGGCCAGCAAUGAUGAUGGCUUGCGUCGAGACCAUGCAGGAGGGCGCAGUGCCUCCGGUGACCAUGGUCCCGACAAGCAUCGAAGCUGUGCAGGAGGGUGUAGCACCUCCGGCGACCACAGUGCCGACAACCGUUAAGUCCGUGCGGGAGGCAUGGAGCUCUUCAAGUAAUCCCCUCCCGACAUCGGGAGCGCUCUCCUCGACAACAAUGUUCUCGGGAGACUACGAUUGGGAGGAGAUGAAGACCCGGGUGUGGGGGAGCCACGCCCCGGCAACCACGUCCCCUGCGACGCUGGUCAAGCACGUGCAAGUUGGCACGACAAAGGCGUACCCGACAUCCUUGGGACCAGACAAGCCCGUGUCAGGAGGCACGGCAACGACGCAUCUAGUGGGCCACGUCCCAACCAUGAUGCUGGCAACCAGUGAGCCCAUGCAAGAGGCACGACACUCUCAGGUCGACCACACCCCGACAACCAGGUUCUCGUGGUUCUGCAAGCCCGUGUGGGUGACAUGGCACUCUUCGACAAGCCUCAACUGGGAGGCAAUGAGAGACAUGUUGGGUUUCGUAGUAAUUUCAAAAAUUUUCCUACGCACACGCAAGAUCAUGGUGAUGCAUAGCAACAAGAGGGGAGAGUGCUGUCUACGUACCCACGCAGACCGACUGCGGAAGCGUUGACACAACGUAGAGGAAGUAGUCGUACGUCUUCGCGAUCCAACCGAUCAAGCACCGAAACUACGGCACCUCCGAGUUCGAGCACACGUUCAGCUCGAUGACGAUCCCCGGACUCCGAUCCAGCAAAGUGUCGGGGAAGAAUUCCGUCAGCACGACGGCAUGGUGACGAUCUUGAUGCACUACAGCAGCAGGGCUUCGCCUAAACUCCGCUACAGCAUAAUCGAGGAAUAUGAUGGUUGGGGGCGCCGCACACGGCUAAGGAAUAGAUCACGUGGAUCAACUUGUGUGUUUCUGGGGUGCCUCUGCCUCAGUAUAUAAAGGAGCCAAGGGGGAGGGGGGCCGGCUAGGAGGAGGGCGCAGGAGGAGUCCUUCUCCUUCCAGGAGUAGGACUCCCCCCCCCAAUCCUAGUUGGACUCGGAUUCCCCGAGGGGGAAAGAGAGAGAAGGGGGGCCGGCCACCUCUCCUAGUCCUAAUAGGACUAGGGGGAGGGGGGAGGCGCGCGGCCACCUUGGGCUGCCCCUUUCUCCUUUCCACUAAAGCCCAUCUAGGCCCAUAUGGUUCCCGGGGAUUCCGGUAACCUCCCGGUACUCCGGUAAAAUCCCGAUUUCACCCGGAACACUUCCGAUAUCCAAACAUAGGCUUCCAAUAUAUCAAUCUUUACGUCUCGACCAUUUUGAGACUCCUCGUCAUGUCCGUGAUCAAAUCUGGGACUCCGAACAACCUUCGGUACAUCAAAAUGCAUAAACUCAUAAUAUAACUGUCAUCGUAACCUUAAGCGUGCGGACCCUACGGGUUCGAGAACAAUGUAGACAUGACCGAGACACGUCUCCGGUCAAUAACCAAUAGCGGGACCUGGAGGCCCAUAUUGGCUCCUACAUAUUCUAGGAAGAUCUUUAUCGGUCAGACCGCAUAACAACGUACGUUGUUCCCUUUGUCAUCGGUAUGUUACUUGCCCGAGAUUCGAUCGUCGGUAUCCAAUACCUAGUUCAAUCUCGUUACAGGCAAGUCUCUUUACUCGUUCUGUAAUACAUCAUCUCGCAACUAACUCAUUAGUUGCAAUGCUUGCAAGGCUUAUGUGAUGUGCAUUACCGAGAGGGCCCAGAGAUACCUCUCCGACAAUAGGAGUGACAAAUCCUAAUCUCGAAAUACGCCAACCCAACAUCUACCUUUGGAGACACCUGUAAUGCUCCUUUAUAAUCACCCAGUUACGUUGUGACGUUUGGUAGCACCCAAAGUGUUCCUCCGGCAAACGGGAGUUGCAUAAUCUCAUAGUUAUAGGAACAUGUAUAAGUCAUGAAGAAAGCAAUAUCAACAUACUAAACGAUCGGGUGCUAAUCUAAUGGAAUGGGUCAUGUCAAUCAGAUCACUCAACUAAUGAUGUGACCUCGUUAAUCAAAUAACAACUCAUUGUUCAUGGUUAGGAAACAUAACCAUCUUUGAUUAACGAGCUAGUCAAGUAGAGGCAUACUAGUGACACUUUGUUUGUCUAUGUAUUCACACAUGUAUUAUGUUUCCGGUUAAUACAAUUCUAGCAUGAAUAAUAAACAUUUAUCAUGAUUAUAAGGAAAUAAAUAAUAACUUUAUUAUUGCCUCUAGGGCAUAUUUCCUUUAGUCUCCCACUUGCACUAGAGUCAAUAAUCUAGAUUACACUGUAAUGAUUCUAACACCCAUGGAGCCUUGGUGCUGAUCAUGUUUUGCUCGUGGAAGAGGCUUAGUCAACGGGUCUGCAACAUUCAGAUCCGUAUGUAUCUUGCAAAUCUCUAUGUCUCCCACCUGGACUAGAUCCCGGAUGGAAUUGAAGCAUUUCUUGAUGUGCUUGGUUCUCUUGUGAAAUCUGGAUUCCUUUGCCAAGGCCAUUGCACCAGUAUUAUCACAAAAGAUUUUCAUUGGACCCGAUGCACUAGGUAUGACACCUAGAUCGGAUAUGAACUCCUUCAUCCAGACUCCUUCGUUCGCUGCUUCCGAAGCAGCUAUGUACUCCGCUUCACAUGUAGAUCCCGCUACGACGCUUUGUUUAGAACUGCACCAACUGACAGCUCCACCGUUUAAUGUAAACACGUAUCCGGUUUGCGAUUUAGAAUCGUCCGGAUCAGUGUCAAAGCUUGCAUCAACGUAACCAUUUACGACGAGCUCUUUGUCACCUCCAUAUACGAGAAACAUAUCCUUAGUCGCUUUCAGGUAUUUCAGGAUGUUCUUGACCGCUGUCCAGUGAUCCACUCCUGGAUUACUUUGGUACCUCCCUGCUAGAGUUAUAGCAAGGCACACAUCAGGUCUGGUACACAACAUUGCAUACAUGAUACAUCCUAUCGCUGAUGCAUAGGGAACAUCUUUCAUAUUCUCUCUAUCUUCUGCAGUGGUCGGGCAUUGAGUCUUACUCAAUUUCACACCUUGUAACACAGGCAAGAAUCCUUUCUUUGCUUGAUCCAUUUUGAACUUCUUCAAAAUUUUGUCAAGGUAUGUUGUUUGUGAAAGUCCAAUUAAGCGUCUUGAUCUAUCUCUAUAGAUCUUUAUGCCUAAUAUGUAAGCAGCUUCACCGAGGUCUUUCAUUGAAAAACUCUUAUUCAAGUAUCCCUUUAUGCUAUCCAGAAAUUCUAUAUUAUUUCCAAUCAGUAAUAUGUCAUCCACAUAUAAUAUCAAAAAUGCUACAGAGCUCCCACUCACUUUCUUGUAAAUACAGGCUUCUCCGAAAGUCUGCAUAAAACCAAAUGCUUUGAUCACACUAUCAAAGCGUUUAUUCCAACUCCGAGAGGCUUGCACCAGUCCAUAAAUGGAUCGCUGGAGCUUGCACACUUUGUUAGCUCCUUUUGGAUCGACAAAACCUUCUGGUUGCAUCAUAUACAACUCUUCUUCCAGAAAUCCAUUCAGGAAUGCAGUUUUGACAUCCAUUUGCCCAAUUUCAUAAUCAUAAAAUGCGGCAAUUGCUAACAUGAUUCGGACAGACUUAAGCAUCGCUACGGGUGAGAAGGUCUCAUCGUAGUCAACCCCUUGAACUUGUCGAAAACCUUUUGCGACAAGUCGAGCUUUGUAGACAGUAACAUUACCGUCAGCGUCAGUCUUCUUCUUGAAGAUCCAUUUAUUCUCAAUUGCUUGCCGAUCCUUGGGCAAGUCAACCAAAGUCCAUACUUUGUUCUCAUACAUGGAUCCCAUCUCAGAUUUCAUGGCUUCAAGCCAUUUUGCGGAAUCUGGGCUCACCAUCGCUUCUUCAUAGUUCGCAGGUUCAUCAUGAUCUAGUAGCAUGACUUCCAGAACAGGAUUACCAUACCACUAUGGUGCGGAUCUUACUCUGGUUGAUCUACGAGGUUCAGUAGUAUCUUGAUCUGAAGUUUCAUGAACAUUAUCAUUAGCUUCCUCACUAACUGGUGUAGGUGUCACUGAAACAAUUUUCUGUGAUGUACUACUUUCCAAUAAGGGAGCAGGUAUAGUUACCUCGUCAAGUUCUACUUUCCUCGCACUCACUUCUUUCGAGAGAAACUCCUUCUCUAGAAAGUUUCCGAAUUUAGCAACAAAAGUCUUGCCUUCGGAUCUGUGAUAGAAGGUGUAUCCAAUAGUUUCCUUUGGAUAUCCUAUGAAGACACAUUUCUCCGAUUUGGGUUCGAGCUUAUCAGGUUGAAGCUUUUUCACAUAAGCAUCGCAGCCCCAAACUUUCAGAAACGACAACUUUGGCUUCUUGCCAAACCACAGUUCAUAAGGCGUCGUCUCAACGGAUUUUGAUGGUGCCCUAUUUAACGUGAAUGCGGCCGUCUCUAGAGCGUAUCCCCAAAACGAUAGCGGUAAAUCAGUAAGAGACAUCAUAGAUCGCACCAUAUCUAGUAAAGUACGAUUACGACGUUCGGACACACCAUUACGCUGUGGUGUUCCGGGUGGCGUGAGUUGUGAAACUAUUCCACAAUUUUUCAAAAGUACACCAAACUCGUAACUCAAAUAUUCUCCUCCACGAUCAGAUCGUAGAAACUUUAUUUUCUUGUUACGAUGAUUUUCAACUUCACUCUGAAAUUCCUUGAACUUUUCAUAUGUUUCAGACUUAUGUUUCAUUAAGUAGACAUACCCAUAUCUGCUUAAAUCAUCUGUGAAGGUGAGAAAAUAACGAUAUCCGCCACGAGCCUCAAUAUUCAUCGGACCACAUACAUCUGUAUGUAUGAUUUCCAACAAAUCUGUUUCUCUCUCCAUAGUACCGGAGAACGGUGUUUUGGUCAUCUUGCCCAUAAGGCACGGUUCGCAAGUACCAAGUGAUUCAUAAUCAAGUGGUUCCAAAAGUCCAUCAGAAUGGAGUUUCUUCAUGCGCUUUACACCGAUAUGACCUAACCGACAGUGCCACAAAUAAGUUGCACUCUCAUUAUCAACUCUGCAUCUUUUGGCUUCAACAUUAUGAAUAUGUGUGUUACUACUAUCGAGAUUCAACAAGAAUAGACCACUCUUCAAGGGUGCAUGACCAUAAAAGAUAUUACUCAUAUAAAUAGAACAACCAUUAUUCUCUGAUUUAAAUGAAUAACCGUCUCGCAUCAAACAAGAUCCAGAUAUAAUGUUCAUGCUUAACGCUGGCACCAAAUAAUAAUUAUUUAGGUCUAAUACUAAUCCCGAAGGUAGAUGUAGAGGUAGUGUGCCGACUGCGAUCACAUUGACUUUGGAACCGUUUCCCACGCGCAUCGUCACCUCAUCCUUAACCAAUCUUCGCUUGAUCCGUAGUCCCUGUUUCGAGUUGCAAAUAUUAGCAACAGAACCAGUAUCAAAUACCCAGGUGCUACUGCAAGCAUUAGUAAGGUACACAUCAAUAACAUGUAUAUCACAUAUACCUUUGUUCACCUUGCCAUCCUUCUUAUCCACCAAAUACUUGGGGCAGUUCCGCUUCCAGUGACCAGUCUGCUUGCAAUAGAAACACUCAGUUUCAGGCUUAGGUCCAGGUUUGGGUUUCUUCUCUUGAGUAGCAACUUGCUUGCCGUUCUUUUUGAAGUUCCCCUUCUUCUUCCCUUUGCCCUUUUUCUUGAAACUAGUGGUCUUGUUGACCAUCAACACUUGAUGCUCUUUCUUGAUUUCUACCUCCGCAGCUUUCAGCAUUGCGAAGAGCUCGGGAAUAGUCUUGUUCAUCCCUUGCAUAUUAUAGUUCAUCACGAAGCUCUUGUAGCUUGGUGGCAGUGAUUGAACAAUUCUGUCAAUGACGCAAUCAUCUGGAAGAUUAACUCCCAAUUGAAUCAAGUGAUUAUUAUACCCAGACAUUUUGAGUAUAUGCUCACUGACAGAACUGUUCUCCUCCAUCUUGCAGCUAUAGAACUUAUUGGAGACUUCAUACCUCUCAAUUCGGGCAUUUGCUUGAAAUAUUAACUUCAACUCUUGGAACAUCUCAUAUGCUCCAUGACGUUCAAAACGUCGUUGAAGUCCCGAUUCUAAGCCGUAAAGCAUGGCACACUGAACUAUCGAAUAGUCAUCAGCUUUGCUCUGCCAGACGUUCAUAACAUCCGGCGUUGCUCCUGUAGCAGGCCUGGCACCCAGUGGUGCUUCCACGACGUAAUUCUUCUGUGCAGCAAUGAGGAUAAUCCUCAGGUUACGGACCCAGUCCAUGUAAUUGCUACCAUCAUCUUUCAACUUUGCUUUCUCAAGGAACGCAUUAAAAUUCAACGGAACAACAGCACGAGCCAUCUAUCUACAAUCAAACAUAAACAAGCAAGAUACUAAUCAAGUACUAAGUUUCAUGAUAAAUUUAAGUUCAGUUAAUCAAAUUAAUUAAAGAACUCCCACUUAGAUAGACAUCCCUCUAAUCCUCUAAGUGAUUACAUGAUCCAAAUCAACUAAACCAUAACCGAUCAUCACGUGAGAUGGAGUAGUUUUCAAUGGUGAACAUCGUUAUGUUGAUCAUAUCUACUAUAUGAUUCACUCUCGACCUUUCGGUCUCCGUGUUCCGAGGCCAUAUCUGUAUAUGCUUGACUCGUCAAGUAUAACCUGAGUAUUCCGCGUGUGCAACUGUUUUGCACCCGUUGUAUUUGAACGUAGAACCUAUCACACCCGAUCAUCACGUGGUGUCUCAGCACGAAGAACUUUCACAACGGUGCAUACUUAGGGAGAACACUUCUUGAUAAUUUAGUGAGAGAUCAUCUUAUAAUGCUACCGUCAAUCAAAGCAAGAUAAGAUGCAUAAAAAGGAUAAACAUGACAUACAAUCAAUAUAAGUGAUAUGAUAUGGCCAUCAUCAUCUUGUGGUUGUGAUCUCCAUCUCCGAACACCGUCGUGAUCACCAUCGUCACCGGCGUGACACCUUGAUCUCCAUCGUAGCAUCGUUGUCGUCUCGCCAAGUUUAUGCUUCCACGACUAUCACUACCGCUUAGUAAUAAAGUAAAGCAUCAUAUCGCGAUUUCAUUGCAUACAAUAAAACGACAACCAUAAGGCUCCUGCCAGUUGCCGAUAACUCGGUUACAAAACAUGAUCAUCUCAUACAAUAAAAUUCAGCAUCAUGUCUUGACCAUAUCACAUCACAACAUGCCCUACAAAAACAAGUUAGACGUCCUCUACUUUGUUGUUGCAAGUUUUACGUGGCUGCUACGGGCUUAAGCAAGAACCAAUCUCACCUACGCAUCAAAACCACAACGAUAGUUUGUCAAAUAGACUCCGUUUUAACCUUCGCAAGGACCGGGCGUAGCCAUACUUGGUUCAACUAAAGUUGGAGAGACAGUCGCCCGCAAGACCCUGUGUGCAAAGCACGUCGGGGGAACCGGUCUCGCGUAAGCGUACCCGUAAGGUUGGUCCGGGUCGUCUCGUCCAACAAUGCCGCCGAACCAAAGUAUGACAUGCUGGUAGGCAGUAUGACUUAUAUCGCCCACAACUCACUUGUGUUCUACUCGUGCAUAUAACAUCAACAUAAAUAACCUAGGCUCGGAUGCCACUGUUGGGUUUCGUAGUAAUUUCAAAAAAAUUCCUACGCACACGCAAGAUCAUGGUGAUGCAUAGCAACGAGAGGGGAAAGUGCUGUCUACGUACCCACGCAGACCGACUGCGGAAGCGUUGACACAACGUAGAGGAAGUAGUCGUACGUCUUCGCGAUCCAACCGAUCAAACACCGAAACUACGGCACCUCCGAGUUUGAGCACACGUUCAACUCGAUGACGAUCCCCGGACUCCGAUCCAGCAAAGUGUCGGGGAAGAAUUCCGUCAGCACGACGGCGUGGUGACGAUCUUGAUGCACUACAGCAGCAGGGCUUCGCCUAAACUCCGCUACAGUAUAAUCGAGGAAUAUGGUGGCUGGGGGCGCCGCACACGGCUAAGGAAUAGAUCACGUGGAUCAACUUGUGUGUUUCUGGGGUGCCUCUGCCUCAGUAUAUAAAGGAGCCAAGGGGGAGGGGGGCGCCGGCCAGGAGGAGGGCGCAGGAGGAGUCCUUCUCCUUCCGGGAGUAGGACUCCCCCCCCCCAAUCCUAGUUGGACUAGGAUUCCCCGAGGGGGAAAGAGAGAGAAGGGGGGCCGGCCACCUCUCCUAGUCCUAAUAGGACUAGGGGGAGGGGGGAGGCGCGCUGCCACCUUGGGCUGCCCCUUUCUCCUUUUCACUAAAGCCCAUCUAGGCCCAUAUGGUUCCCGGGGGGUUCCGGUAACCUCCCGGUACUCCGGUAAAAUCCCGAUUUCACCCGGAACACUUUCGAUAUCCAAACACAGGCUUCCAAUAUAUCAAUCUUUAUGUCUCGACCAUUUUGAGACUCCUCGUCAUGUCCGUGAUCACAUCCGGGACUCCGAACAACCUUCGGUACAUCAAAAUGCAUAAACUCAUAAUAUAACUGUCAUCGUAACCUUAAGCGUGCGGACCCUACGGGUUCGAGAACAAUGUAGACAUGACCGAGACACGUCUCCGGUCAAUAACCAAUAGCGGGACCUGGAUGCCCAUAUUGGCUCCUACAUAUUCUAUGAAGAUCUUUAUCGGUCAGACCGCAUAACAAUAUACGUUGUUCCCUUUGUCAUCGGUAUGUUACUUGCCCGAGAUUCGAUCGUCGGUAUCCAAUACCUAGUUCAAUCUCGUUACCGGCAAGUCUCUUUACUCGUUCUGUAAUACAUCAUCUCGCAACUAACUCAUUAGUUGCAAUGCUUGCGAGGCUUAUGUGAUGUGCAUUACCGAGAGGGCCCAGAGAUACCUCUCCGACAAUCGGAGUGACAAAUCCUAAUCUCGAAAUAUGCCAACCCAACAUCUACCUUUGGAGACACCUGUAAUGCUCCUUUAUAAUCACCCAGUUACGUUGUGAUGUUUGGUAGCACCCAAAGUGUUCCUUCGACAAACGGGAGUUGCAUAAUCUCAUAGUUAUAGGAACAUGUAUAAGUCAUGAAGAAAGCAAUAGCAACAUACUAAACGAUCGGGUGCUAAGCUAAUGGAAUGGGUCAUGUCAAUCAGAUCAUUCAACUAAUGAUGUGACCUCGUUAAUCAAAUAACAACUCAUUGUUCAUGGUUAGGAAACAUAACCAUCUUUGAUUAACGAGCUAGUCAAGUAGAGGCAUACUAGUGACACUUUGUUUGUCUAUGUAUUCACACAUGUAUUAUGUUUCCGGUUAAUACAAUUCUAGCAUGAAUAAUAAACAUUUAUCAUGAUUAUAAGGAAAUAAAUAAUAACUUUAUUAUUGCCUCUAGGGCAUAUUUCCUUCAAGACAGACAUGGGGCGGCAAGGCCUCGACUGAGACUAUGGCGACCAUUAAGUCCAUGCAGGAGGCACAACACUCUCUGGUCAGCUAUGCCGCGACCCCAAUGCGCUCGGGGUCCAUCGAGUCCGUGCGGGAGGCACGACUCACAACUAUUAGGGGAGACCCGACAAGCAAGUCUGAUGGGAAGAGCGACAAGGAAUCCACUACCUUGGGAGAAGCCACACCGGGUAGUGCGAUGUCCGACAAGUCAUCCCCGGGAAGGGAGUUCCCGGGUAUCAUGACGUCUGACACGUCGACCCCAAGAAGGGAGUUUCUGGGCAGUGUGAUGUCAGGAAAUACGACUCCAGCAACACUGACGCCUACGAGCGAGGUGGUUUCUGGGCAGUUCAUGUUCCCGCCAACAGCGCGGUCAGACUUGUUCGAUGCCGACAACAAUGUUGGCACUCCACACAGGUUCCGACGCCUAGGAGGAUAUUCUCGACGAGCCUACGGGACGAUCGCAGCACUGCGCGAUCAAGAAGGACGAGCACGGCGUACGGGCUACCCAAACCAGGAGAAGGAAGACAUCCCAAAGAAGACAGUUGGUCGAGUUUGGUUCCAGAAACCAUGCGAGAAGAUCGGGAUCAUGGAAACAAGCUCCUUUGACAAGGUUGAGGAGGAGAUUGUUGGGUCAACCUGGUCUUCGGAUGGUCUUCAGCAUGCAUGUAGCGGCAUAGCUUGCAUGCAACGGCAGUAGUAGUUAUUACUUAGCUAUGAAGUGAUAGAAGGUAGUAGUAGCUUCAUGUCAUCAGUAGUAAUUUCCUAAGCAGUAGAGGAGGCGUGGCUUAGUAGCUAAGCUUUACAAAGUAAGUCAUGAUGUCAUUUAGGCACUGGAGUUAGCACAUGCGUUCUAUAGUCGGUUUGUAAUCCCCUAUAAAAGGAGCACUACUCCAUCGAUGUAAGAUCAUUCCACUCCGAUCAAUUCAAGUAGUAUCUUUUCUCAAGUGUAGCUCCAUUGGUGCAUGCUUCACUGGUGUGUGUGUGCGUACUAGCCUAGAGAGCCUGAGCGUACCAUCACUUUGCUUUUUCACCGGUCAUUUAUCAGUAUACUCGAGUGCUAGCGAGUAGUUCUGGAUAACAAUUGGCAUCAGAGCCUCAGGUUGCAGUAGCCAUGGUUGGUGCAAAAGGAGUGCAGCAGCGCACCAUCUCGGGUGGUUCAUAGUCGCGGCCAUCACAGGACGGCUCCCAGUCGCCGGCUCCGGAGGAGCGGCGAGGGCGCAGCCGGUCCAGGCGCGGCCAUCGCGGUGAGGUCGUGGUUAGGGAGAUCGUGCGCGAGACUGCAAUCAGCGGUAGCGUGCCCAUCACCUUCCGGAUGCUCACGCGCUCAAACUACAGUGAGUGGGCAUUGAUCAUGGAGUGCAACCUUCAUGCGGCGAGCCUCUGGGCUCCCAUGGAGGACGACCUGGUCGAGAGAAAGGAGGACAGGAAAGCCGUGGAGGCCCUCAUGCGC
rnacentral:lncRNA from 1 species